GAUGAACGCUAGCGGGAGGCUUAAUACAUGCAAGUCGAGCGGCAAGUUUUGAUAGCAAUAUUGGAACCUAGAGCGGCGCACGGGUGAGUAACGCGUACAUGACCUGCCCUAUACUGGGGGAUAGUCUUGGGAAACUGAGAAUAAUCCCGCAUGUGAUUAGAAUGCUGCAUGGCAAAUUAAUUAAAGCUGAGGCGGUAUAGGAUGGGUGUGCGUCUGAUUAGCUAGUUGGUAGUGUAACGGACUACCAAGGCGAUGAUCAGUAGGGGCGUGAGAGCGUGACCCCCCACACGGGUACUGAGACACGGACCCGACUCCUACGGGAGGCAGCAGUAAGGAAUAUUGGUCAAUGGAGGGAACUCUGAACCAGCCAUCCCGCGUGAAGGAUGAAGGGGCUCUGCCUUGUAAACUUCUUUUGCAUGGGACGAAAAACUUAAUUUAUUAAGGACUGACGGUACCAUGAGAAUAAGCACCGGCUAACUCCGUGCCAGCAGCCGAC
rnacentral:rRNA from 1 species